rnacentral:rRNA from 1 species
AUUCCAGCUCCAAGAGCGUAUGUAAAAGUUGUUGCAGUUAAAAAGCUCGUAGUUGAACUUUGGGUUUGGUUAGCCGGUCCGCUUUUUUGCGAGUACUGGAUUCAACCGAGCCUUUCCUUCUGGCUAACUAGUCGUUCUGCGGCUAGCGAACCAGGAUUUUUACUUUGAGAAAAUUAGAGUGUUCAAAGCAGGCAUUAGCUUGAAUAUAUUAGCAUGGAAUAAUAGAAUAGGACGUUAUGGUUCUAUUUUGUUGGUUUCUAGGACCAUCGUAAUGAUUAAUAGGGACGGUCGGGGGCAUCAGUAUUCAGUUGUCAGAGGUGAAAUUCUUGGAUUUACUGAAGACUAACUACUGCGAAAGCAUUUGCCAAGGACGUUUUCAUCG